ensembl:snRNA U6 U6 spliceosomal RNA
GUGCUCGCUUCUGUAGCACAAAUACUAAAAUUGGAACAACACAGAGAAGACCAGCGUGGCCCCUGCACGAGGGUGACAUGCAAAUUCGUGAAGCGUUCCACAGUAGG